rnacentral:rRNA from 1 species
UACAGAGGGGGCAAGCGUUGUUCGGAAUUACUGGGCGUAAAGCGCACGUAGGCGGCUUUGUAAGUUAGAGGUGAAAGCCCGGAGCUCAACUCCGGAAUUGCCUUUAAGACUGCAUCGCUAGAAUUGUGGAGAGGUGAGUGGAAUUCCGAGUGUAGAGGUGAAAUUCGUAGAUAUUCGGAAGAACACCAGUGGCGAAGGCGACUCACUGGACACAUAUUGACGCUGAGGUGCGAAAGCGUGGGGAGCAAACAGG